GACGAACGCUGGCGGCGUGCUUAACACAUGCAAGUCGAACGGUGAAGCGCCUUCCUUUUUGGUGGGUGUGGAUGAGUGGCGAACGGGUGAGUAACACGUGAGUAACCUGCCCCCUUCUUCUGGAUAACCGCAUGAAAGUGUGGCUAAUACGGGAUAUUCUGGGUCUGUCGCAUGAUGGGUCUGGGAAAGAUAUUGUUUCGGUGGGGGAUGGGCUCGCGGCCUAUCAGCUUGUUGGUGGGGUGAUGGCCUACCAAGGCGGUGACGGGUAGCCGGCCUGAGAGGGUGGACGGUCACACUGGGACUGAGACACGGCCCAGUCUCCUACGGGAGGCAGCAGUGGGGAAUAUUGCACAAUGGGCGCAAGCCUGAUGCAGCGACGCCGCGUGAGGGAUGGAGGCCUUCGGGUUGUGAACCUCUUUCGCCAGUGAAGCAGGCCUGCCUCGUUUGUGGGUGGGUUGACGGUAGCUGGAUAAGAAGCGCCGGCUAACUACGUG
rnacentral:rRNA from 1 species